rnacentral:rRNA from 1 species
GAUGAACGCUGGCGGCGUGCCUAAUACAUGCAAGUCGAGCGAACAGACGAGGAGCUUGCUCCUCUGACGUUAGCGGCGGGCGGGUGAGUAACACGUGGAUAACCUACCUAUAAGACUGGGAUAACUUCGGAAAACCGGAGCUAAUACCGGAUAAUAUAUUGAACCGCAUGGUUCAAUAGUGAAAGACGGUUUUGCUGUCACUUAUAGAUGGAUCCGCGCCGCAUUAGCUAGUUGGUAAGGUAACGGCUUACCAAGGCAACGAUGCGUAGCCGACCUGAGAGGGUGAUCGGCCACACUGGAACUGAGACACGGUCCAGACUCCUACGGGAGGCAGCAGUAGGGAAUCUUCCGCAAUGGGCGAAAGCCUGACGGAGCAACGCCGCGUGAGUGAUGAAGGUCUUCGGAUCGUAAAACUCUGUUAUUAGGGAAGAACAAAUGUGUAAGUAACUAUGCACGUCUUGACGGUACCUAAUCAGAAAGCCACGGCUAACUACGUG